AUGCCUGUACCAUAACCGACACAGGUGGGUAAGUAGAGUAUACAAAGGGGCGCGAGAUAACUCUCUCUAAGGAACUCGGCAAAAUAACUCCGUAACUUCGGGAGAAGGAGUGCCUUAUUCUUAAGGUUGCAAUAACAAGAUCCAAGCAACUGUUUAUCAAAAACACAGGUCUCCGCUAAGUCGUAAGACGAUGUAUGGGGGCUGACGCCUGCCCAGUGCCAGAAGGUUAAAGAAGUCGGUUAGCAAUAGCAAAGCUGGUAACUGAAGCCCUGGUGAACGGCGGCCGUAACGAUAACGGUCCUAAGGUAGCGAAAUUCCUUGUCGGGUAAGUUCCGACCCGCACGAAAGGCGUAAUGAUUUGGAUGCUGUCUCGGAGAGGGGCUCGGUGAAAUAGACUUGUCUGUGAAGAUGCGGACUACCUGCACCAGGACAGAAAGACCCUAUGAAGCUUUACUGUAACUUGAAAUUGAAAUUGGACUUUAUUCGCGCAGUAUAGGUGGGAGGCGUUGAUUAUAAUCUUGUGGGAUUAUUGGAGCCAUCAGUGAGAUACCACUCUUGUAAUGUUAGAUUUCUAACUUUGAAUCAUUAUCUGGUCAAAGGACAGUUUCAGGCGGGCAGUUUGACUGGGGCGGUCGCCUCCUAAACGGUAACGGAGGCGUACAAAGGUUUCCUCUGAACGGUUAGAAAUCGUAUCUAGAGUGUAAAGGCAUAAGGAAGCUUGACUGUGAGACCUACAAGUCGAGCAGGGACGAAAGUCGGUCUUAGUGAUCUGACGGUACUGAGUGGAAAGGCCGUCACUCAACGGAUAAAAGUUACUCUAAGGAUAACAGGCUGAUCUCCCCCAAGAGUUCACAUCGACGGGGAGGUUUGGCACCUCGAUGUCGGCUCAUCGCAUCCUGGGGCGGUAGUACGUCCCAAGGGUUGGGCUGUUCGCCCAUGAAAGCGGUACGCGAGCUGGGUUCAGAACGUCGUGAGACAGUUCGGUCCAUAUCCGGUGUAGGCGCUAGAAUAUUGAGAGGAGCCUUCUUUAGUACGAGAGGACCGAGAAGGACAUACCUCUGGUGUACCAGUUAUCGUGCCAACGGUAAACGCUGGGUAGCUAUGUAUGGAGUGGAUAACCGCUGAAAGCAUCUAAGUGGGAAGCCCACCUCAAGAUAAGUAUUCUCAUCACGUAAGUGAGUAAGGUCACGGUAAGACUAACCGUUUGAUAGGCAUUAAGUGUAAGUACAGUAAUGUAUGUGCUGAGAUGUCCUAAUAGACCGAGGACUUG
rnacentral:rRNA from 1 species